rnacentral:rRNA from 1 species
GACGAACGCUGGCGGCGUGCCUAAUACAUGCAAGUUGAGCGAUGAAGAUUGGUGCUUGCACCAAUUUGAAGAGCAGCGAACGGGUGAGUAACGCGUGGGGAAUCUGCCUUUGAGCGGGGGACAACAUUUGGAAACGAAUGCUAAUACCGCAUAAUAACUUUAAACAUAAGUUUUAAGUUUGAAAGAUGCAAUUGCAUCACUCAAAGAUGAUCCCGCGUUGUAUUAGCUAGUUGGUGAGGUAAAGGCUCACCAAGGCGAUGAUACAUAGCCGACCUGAGAGGGUGAUCGGCCACAUUGGGACUGAGACACGGCCCAAACUCCUACGGGAGGCAGCAGUAGGGAAUCUUCGGCAAUGGACGAAAGUCUGACCGAGCAACGCCGCGCGAGUGAAGAAGGUUUUCGGAUCGUAAAACUCUGUUGGUAGAGAAGAACGUUGGUGAGAGUGGAAAGCUCAUCAAGUGACGGUAACUACCCAGAAAGGGACGGCUAACUACGUG